CCUACGGGAGGCAGCAGUGGGGAAUUUUGGACAAUGGGCGAAAGCCUGAUCCAGCAAUGCCGCGUGAGUGAAGAAGGCCUUCGGGUUGUAAAGCUCUUUUGUCAGGGAAGAAACGGUGAGAGCUAAUAUCUCUUGCUAAUGACGGUACCUGAAGAAUAAGCACCGGCUAACUACGUGCCAGCAGCCGCGGUAAUACGUAGGGUGCAAGCGUUAAUCGGAAUUACUGGGCGUAAAGCGUGCGCAGGCGGUUUUGUAAGUCUGAUGUGAAAUCCCCGGGCUCAACCUGGGAAUUGCAUUGGAGACUGCAAGGCUAGAAUCUGGCAGAGGGGGGUAGAAUUCCACGUGUAGCAGUGAAAUGCGUAGAUAUGUGGAGGAACACCGAUGGCGAAGGCAGCCCCCUGGGUCAAGAUUGACGCUCAUGCACGAAAGCGUGGGGAGCAAACAGGAUUAGAUACCCUGGUAGUCCACGCCCUAAACGAUGUCUACUAGUUGUCGGGUCUUAAUUGACUUGGUAACGCAGCUAACGCGUGAAGUAGACCGCCUGGGGAGUACGGUCGCAAGAUUAAAACUCAAAGGAAUUGA
rnacentral:rRNA from 1 species